UUUUGCUUUGCAUGACCAAGGUUCGCAUUGAAAGCCACGUCUUGACGCCUCGUUGAUUUGUUCAGGAAAACACCGACUUUUCAUCAUCCCCUUGUACAGUUUCUCGCAAUUUCUGCAUAAUUCCUCAAAAAUUCCAGCUUUAAGCCUUAACAAAGGACUCCAUUUAAUCUGUCUUCAAUUUCAUGGCAACCGCUUCUUUGCUCGAAUCGAGCCAAUUGAAAUGGCCGCGGAGCCUCCCGGUCCGGUUAUGCCCGUCUCGUCCUCUUCCCCCUGCCCCUUAUCCCCUCCAUCUCAUACCUGCUAAAUUGGGCAAUAAUUUGAGAAUUAAAGGUCACAGCUUUGCUAAAUUGAUAGUUAAGUGCUCUUGCAUGGAUAAACACUUAACGAACUCGGAUAAUAAUGCACCAAGUUCGACUUCGAAUUCAAAUCCUACAUCCCUUGGCAGAUCUGUAUCAACUAACCCUUUUGGGAUCAUUUAUAAUACGAUCAUAAAAUCUCUUGAAGCGCUCAAAAAACCUGCAAUUGCACUGAUUCUAGUGGGGCUUUUAUUGCUUUGUGACAAUAGUUCUGCAUUUGCUGCCUCCGGUGGCAGAAUGGGUGGGAGGUCUUUUUCCCGGUCAUCUUCAUCAUCGUCUAGUAGCUAUUCAGUUCCUCCAACGUCCAGUCCGGGGUUAUCAUACUCCGUGCCCUACCACGCGCCGUCGCCAUUCGGUGGCGGUGGUGGCGGCAUUUACGUUGGUUCCGCAGUGGGAUUCGGUGUGGAUGCUGGGUCUACUUUAUUUUUUAUAUUGGCAGGUUUCACGGCGUUUAUGUUGGUUUCAGGGUUCCUUUCCGAUAGGAAUGGGGAUGGAGUGCUCACUGCUACAGAGAAGAAUAGUGUUCUUAAGCUUCAGGUUGGGUUGUUGGGCAUGGGGAGGUCUCUUCAGAGGGAUCUCAAUCGAAUUGCAGAAAUUGCAGAUACUUCUUCAUCGGACGGUCUGAGCUACGUAUUGACAGAGACGUCACUAGCUUUGCUUCGGUAUCCUGAUUAUUGCAUCUCUGGCUAUUCAUACGCGGAUGUGAAGCAAAGCAUUGAGGAUGGUGAAAAACGUUUUAAUCAACUAUCUAUUGAAGAAAGGGGGAAAUUUGAUGAAGAAACCCUGGUUAAUGUGAACAGCGUAAAAAAGCAAAGCACAACAAGCCAAAGAGCUAAUGGAUUUAACAAUGAAUAUAUAGUGGUCAGGUUUCAUCUCUGAAGUUGCCAUUGUCCUAGAGUUAACAUCCAAUAAUGGAGUGAAAGACGUUUUGUAGCACGAUGUAGUAGUUUAUAUGUUUCAUUCUUGAGCUUCUGGACUUGGAUUUGGAUAUAUCUGAGCUUUGAAAACCAAUAUAUAAUCUGAAUGGCAUCCAAAAGAGAUAUUACUGUAUUUGAAAAACUUCCGUGUUUUUUGAUAGUUAAAGAUGCUGCCAUUUAUGAAAACUUGGAUUUGUUUCUUACUUUCUUUGAUUUCUAAAUGCAAGGGGCAGCUAGAUCCUUUGGAAAAAAAUUCAUUUGCCCUCAGCUGCUGGUUAUCCCUUGUUUUGAAGCCUAUCAUUGUGGUACUACAGUUUGCUGCUAACUCCAUGUUAAUGUUACAACUUACAAAUGGUCAUUUUCCUCUUGAUAACAAGUAGAUAUAUGAAAAAAAAGAAUGAAUGAAGCCAAUGAAAGUUCAGGAUAUUCUUCCUGUGGGUCAUGACUUGUGAUGGAAUCUUUUUGGACUAUGCUUCUGCUAUAUUAGUAUACUAAUAAAUGAUGUGUGAACAAUGAAUGGAAAACUAUGUGGCCUUCUUAUUUGAUCUAUUAGCAGCAUCAACUGUGGAACGCGAACAAUCUGUUAUGAAGACUGGAAAUCCAGAUUUGUACUCAAAGCCCAUUUCUUCAUUGUCAUGAGAUUUGUUGCUAUAACAAUCUUGGUGGCUGCUGAAGGAGUGCACAAACUGCCAACCAUCAAUGGUAGUGGAGACUUGAAGGCAGCAUUGCAAAAACUAGGUUCCAUUCCCACCAGCAAAAUACUU